rnacentral:rRNA from 1 species
GAUGAACGCUGGCGGCGUGCCUAAUACAUGCCAGUCGAGCGAACGGACGAGAAGCUUGCUUCUCUGAUGUUAGCGGCGGACGGGUGAGUAACACGUGGAUAACCUACCUAUAAGACUGGGAUAACUUCGGGAAACCGGAGCUAAUACCGGAUGAUAUUUUGAACCGCAUGGUUCAAAAGUGAAAGACGGUCUUGCUGUCACUUAUAGAUGGAUCCGCGCUGCAUUAGCUAGUUGGUAAGGUAACGGCUUACCAAGGCAACGAUGCAUAGCCGACCUGAGAGGGUGAUCGGCCACACUGGAACUGAGACACGGUCCAGACUCCUACGGGAGGCAGCAGUAGGGAAUCUUCCCCAAUGGGCGAAAGCCUGACGGAGCAACGCCGCGUGAGUGAUGAAGGUCUUCGGAUCGUAAAACUCUGUUAUUAGGGAAGAACAUAUGUGUAAGUAACUGUGCACAUCUUGACGGUACCUAAUCAGAAAGCCACGGCUAACUACGUG